rnacentral:rRNA from 1 species
AACGCAUAUUGCGCUCUUUGGUAUUCCGAAGAGCAUGCUUGUUUGAGUAUCAGUAAACACCUCAAAGCCCUUUUCUUUUUUUGAAGAAAGGCUUUGGACUUGAGCAAUCCCAACACUUUUUCUUAAGAGUGGCGGGUUGCUUGAAAUGCAGGUGCAGCUGGACAUUCUCCUGAGCUAAAAGCAUAUUCAUUUAGUCCCGUCAAACGGAUUAUUACUUUUGCUGCAGCUAACAUAAAGGGAGUUUGACCAUUUUGGCUGACUGAUGCAGGAUUUUCACAAGAGUCUUCAAAAGCUCUUGUUAAACUCGAUCUCAAAUCAAGUAAGACUACCCGCUGAACUUAA